CUUCAUUUGUUUACUAUAAUACUUCAACCCUUCGUCACAUAAUUCGCGGUUGAUGUGCUUUUCACCAGCAAAUGUUUCGGAAGAGUUUUUUAAUUAUUCAAGACUUAUUACAACCGCCAUCAGUAUUGUUUGCCAACACUUCGGAGCCGUUUCCACGUUUUAAUUAAUGUUAGUUUGAAGUUUGUGGCCGUUUUUAUUAUGCAUACAUCAGCGCUACUUAAUUGCCGGAAAAGUUACUUGCAGAAGUGUUUCAACCGGUUCAAUACUGGUAACGUUUUUUUGAUAAUUGUUGUUUGGGUGGUGUAAUCGAUUAAAACCCAACAACAUUAAAAAAACAGUUACUAAGUUACCCACUUGCUACAUUACGUCACCUGUUUCGACCCCACAUCAGGACUUUUCAGGGCGGAAGAAAUAAGGGGCUAAUUGUCAAGCAUUAAUAGCACAAAGCGUGCAAUCAAUGUUGGGCUAUACAAAGGAGGAACCCCUAGGGAUGGCCUAAGAUGCGGAAAUCAAUAUCAAUUCGACAAUCUCCAAAAUUCUCAAGAAAUGAAGGGGUCGUUCGAAGCAGUUCGGAGGGGAAGUUGCGGCCCCAUCUCGAAAUUACCACACGCAAGACCGAGCACUUCCCCUGCAUGUCCUGUCCGUGUAAUAGAAGCCGCGUCACCAAAAUGCACCAUGGUCCUGUCAACAGAAGCUCAAGUCUGCCAUGUCAGAUAUUUGGUAUAAUUAAUUCCCGAGAAGCUGGCACACGACACCGUCAAGACCCAGUUGUCACAGCUGUCGCACAAAUGGCCCUUGUCCAAACUCAUUUCACAUCUCAUCGCACUUCUUAUUAGCGAACAAAUUAAGCCGAGUUUCACUCUCACACCCCAACGGUGGGAAGAAUGCGUUACACCCCAUGAAACCGGAGGAAUUAAAACAAUUCCGGACACUUUUAGAAUAGGUUUCCAGAUACGUGUUACGUCUGGAAACGACGGCGAAUACAUCAACCCUCACGGAAUUAUUUUUCUCCGCGAUAAAAUCGGAAUGAUUUACUAGUUGAUAGAGUGCAUAUGGGGCAAUUGCGUUUCGGAUUUAUGGAGGGUGCGGGAGUAACGUGUUUUAUGAAAGCGUACUGUUGACGACAAAAUGUAGUAAAAUAUCGUUCGACGACAGAAAAUUGUUCUUCACGCUGAGCGCAGUCAAGGCGACGCUAAUUCGACAACCAUAGGACUAAUGAGGGAGUUUCUACGUAUCAACUUCACAAUUAGUCGCAUUGUGGAAGAGACUGAAGAACAAUCAGGCGAAUUAGAAUAUGGUGCAUUGCAUGAAAAGACGGUUCGGGGAAAUUGUGCAGUCGUGAUUUCUCGACGAUCAAGGGCGCACUUUUACAUUAUUAUUUUGCAUUUUCCGGCACUUAAUGCCCCAGCGAAUGCUUCUGACGAGACGAAUUUACCAAGUAAAGCGCUUGAAUAAUAAACAACUGUUUGGGGCCUGUCCAAGAGUUCAAUAUAUCGUGGGGAAAUUUAGAGGGAAAUCUGCCAAAGCCGAAAAAAUCGGCAAGGACACGAGACGCUCGAUCAAAUUUUGCAUAUUAUGUCACAUAAAACACGACUUUAUUAAACCACUAUUUUGCCCAAAAACAGGAUCAUCCAUCAAUGCUAGAACUCCGAUGGUAGUCUUAAUAGUCAACAAAUUUAAUGCCUUAUCAUAAAAUAACACUUACUGUUUUAUUUCCUUGUCCUAACCGUCACUCCUUGUACGACUUUUACGCAUUCAAAAGCUCGAUAAUCGUAAAAUCUGGGUAACAAGUGGAUGUUUCAAGUUUCAAACUUAUAUGCAAAAAAGUAGACGAAAGCUUUCUGGCACCUGAAAGCUUCUUCACACUUGAAUAAAUGUUGAAUAUUACAAUCGUCCAAGAACACGAACCGUCGAUCAUUAUUGAUUGAAAAAUCGUCACGCAACUUCACGUCCUUUUAUGUAACAUUAUGUUAAUAGAAACCACCUAAAUAUAACUCCAGUUCUCGGAAUCCACCCUAUUAAGAGAGUAAUUAAGUCGAAUUUUAUUUUCAGCCACGAGUAUACAUUCUCGUGCAUUAUUAUAGUCCAGCCCUAAUCCAAUUUCCUGUCUUAUCGAUAUUUUAAAGCUCUUUCAGGUGUGUUGGUGGACUGCCUCGCAGGCGAUCGAUCUUGUAAAAAAAAUUUUUUCCGCGUAUUGAUUCCAAGGGAGGUUUUUCCUUGUUAGAGGUGACACCGUUGUUUUCGUGUAAGGAGGUUAUUAAUAGACAGUGACUAGAAACAAGUGGUAUAAACGUGGAUACACACCGUACUGUCUGAUACCGAU